rnacentral:rRNA from 1 species
CGAACGCUAGCGGCGGGCUUAACACAUGCAAGUCGAGCGGAGGGUUUCGGCCCUCAGCGGCGAACGGGUGAGUAACACGUGGGUAACGUACCCUUUGGUGGGGAAUAACCUAGGGAAACCUGGGCUAAUACCGCAUAUGUCCUUCGGGAUGAAAGUCUUCGGACGCCAGGGGAUCGGCCUGCGGCCCAUUAUUUAAUCCUAGUUGGUAGGGUAACGGCCUACCAAGGGUACGAUGGGUAGCUGGUCUGAGAGGAUGAUCAGCCACACUGGAACUGAGACACGGUCCAGACUCCUACGGGAGGCAGCAGUGGGGAAUAUUGGACAAUGGGCGCAAGCCUGAUCCAGCCACGCCGCGUGGGUGAUGAAGGCCUUCGGGUUGUAAAGCCCUGUCGGAGGGGACGAAGUCUUCGGAUUGACGGUACCUUCCAAGAAAGCACCGGCUAACUCCGUGCCAGCAGCCGCGGUAAUACGGAG